AUUAAUUAUAAAAGAAGUCUGUGCUUGAAUCAAACCUUAUUAUAAAGAUUAAAUAGAUUAAAGAGAAACCAUACAAUCAAAUCAAAUAUCAAACACCAAAUCGAUUAUCAAUAUCCUAAUAUGCUAGACUGGGAUUUUAAAAAG